rnacentral:lncRNA from 1 species
GAGAAUGAGUUUUGAAGAAAAACAUUUGAUGAUUUUACAUAGAAAGAAUCUUGUGACUGCCCAGACAUGGGAAGGGUCCGAAUGUGUGACUUUUUUAGCUCAGUUUUCAAUCAAGAAGUGACUCAUCACACUACAGAGAUUCUAAUGCUUCUCUCAUCAAUCUUCACAGAUCUGAAAACUGUGACAGAAAAGAUGAUGUCUUGAAAUCAUGUAAUAUACAUGAUAUUUCAAAAAGUGAUUGCAAGCUGAAAUGGAGAAGAAAUGCUUGUAAUCAAACCAGUAAUCCAUGUAUUUGUGCAGCAAGAAGCAAACUGAUAAAAUAAGGAACACAUUUCUCAUUUAAGAGUGAAUCCUUAAGAGUCAGACUAAUUGAGUCUACGAUAACUAUCUUGAAUGACUCCAGUACUUCAAGUCUGGGAGCAUCAGAGAUGUUGGAAGUAGCAUUUCCCUUUCAGACAAGAAAGAAGACCGGAAUGAUUGCGACAGCAACAGAGAUCUUCUUGAAAUUAUUAUUUAAGUCUGUGUGUGAUUUUCAAUCUUCUUCUGAAUAUAGAAGCUUCACAGCCCUUGUUUAAGCUACUUGUGUGAGUAAAUUUGAAUAUAUAUGUCAC